AGGGGUCAGGACUGGAGCCCGGCCUUCCCGUGCCCCAGUGCUCUCCGCCUCCCUCCUGGAAGGGGGACGUGUGGUGCUGAGGUUCUGCCCCAACUGCUUGCUGGCGUAGCUCAAGGGAGGACAGACUUGGCCUUGGUCCCGAGAGACACGGAGGAUGUGUCUCAGGGUCCUGGGGCUGCGGCCACCCCCAGUGCCCCCCACCACCUUCCAGAAGACUCCCCAGGGCGCAACCAGCCAGGAAGCACCCAGGACAGGGGACACCGAGGCCUGGGCCGGGCCCUGUCCCCAGCAGCAGCACCUCCUCACAGAGCACCCGACACUGUGGUCACCUCGCGUGUAAACCUCUCCAGGCUCCAUUGCUCCCAGGGUGAGGCCAGGCUCCCCAGCCGUGGCCCUGCCCGGUGUCCAGGUGACCUGGGACAAGGUGGCUUUGCACACGCUGCUCUGUCUCUGUCCCCUGCACCCUUCCCUCCUCCCCCCGCCUCCGUUUCUACCUGGAGCAGGUGGGCUCUGCUCCUCCCCUUCACCUGGGUGCAGGUGGAUCCUUCAAACCUCACCUCCCAGCUCCCUGGAUGCCCAGAGGGGACCGAGGGACAAGCCCCCACACCUGUCUGUCUGUCUCUCUCCUCCCUCCCUCCUUCCCCACCUCAGGCAGCGUCUGCUUGGUGAAUCCUCAUGUCUGUGGUCCCAGCUUAGGAGCCGGCUCCUCUUCCUCUGUCCAGCCCACCCAGGGCGGCAGCAGCUUUGUGUCAUUCUUUCACCUUUUCAUCCUAGGCACUUGAAUCCAGGACCUUUGCACUGAGUUACAUCUACAGCCCUUUUUUAUUUGGAGACAGGGUCUCAUGAGUCACUAAGUUGCCCAGGCUGGGCUUGAGUCAGUGAUCCUCCUGCCUCAGCCUCCCAGAGUGCUGGGAUCACAGGUGACUGAGUACACUGCUCAGAGAAGCUCCCCAUUCAUUCAUUGCACUGAGAUUCUUCAGCGUCUGGUGGCACCAGAUGGGCAGAUGGUGGCGGCCGGGAGUGAGGAUGACGGUGGGCAGAUGGAUGGAAAGAUAGGUGGCUGGGCCUGGCCACUGGAGCUCCCCUUUGGGCUGCUCCUGAGCACAGGUGAGGAACAUGCAUGCAGGUCUCCGGACAGACACAUUCUCAUUUCUCUUGGGCCAACACCUAGAGGUGCAAUUGCUGGGCUGUAAGGCAGGAGUGGACCACAGGCUUGUAGCUGGGUUAGCCUCAGUUUCCUUCUUUAAAAUGGGGAUAAAAUCAGCCAGGCGUGGUAGUACUUGCCUAUCAUCCUGGCUACUCAGGAGGCUGAGGCAGGAGGAUCAGGUGGUCAGGGCCAGCCUAGAUGAUUUCGCACAAGAACCUGACUCAAAAUUAAAUGGGACCGGGCUGCUGGCACACACUGCCAUUCAGCACUCAGGAAGCUGAGGCAGGAGAAUUGCUGAGAGUUCAAGACCAGCUUGGACUACACAGCGAGACCCUGUCUCAAAAUAACAACAACAAUAAUAAGAAGAAAUAAAAUGGGGAUAAAACCAGAAACAACACAGACGUUUAUCGGGAGUGAGAGGGUUGACAAGUGUGGCACCUCCACCACAUGGUGUUUACAUGAGAAGUCCCGGUGAGACUGGGGACAGAAUGCAGAUUUGUGGCUGCCUUGGGCUGGGGCCGGGCGGGAGGGGCACCCGGCCGACAGUGGGCUUCCUUCUUCUGGGUGCUGAAGAUGUCCCCAAGCAAGACAGCACUGUGAGGCUCGAACUCCCGACAGCACUCAGAGCCCCUGAACUGUGCCCUUUGCCAUGGAGGAGUGGCGAAUCUUUCACUGUAUGAAUUUCCGUCCUCAAUUUUAAAGGGCCAGCUGGUGCGGCGAGGGCAUCUACAGUUCCACCUGUUAGGGAGGCUGUAGCAGGAGCAUCACUCGAGCUCAGGAGUCUCAAGCCAGCCUGGAUAACAGACUAAGAGUUUAU
rnacentral:lncRNA from 1 species